rnacentral:rRNA from 1 species
GAUGAACGCUGGCGGGGUGCCUAAUACAUGCAAGUCGAACGCUUUGUCUUUAAUUGUUCUGAAGUGCUUGUUCUGAUUUGAUUUUAUCUGACAAAGAGUGGCGCACGGGUGAGUAACACGUGGGUAACCUACCUCUUAGCAGGGGAUAACAUUUGGAAAUAAGUGCUAAUACCGUAUAACACUAACAACCGCAUGGUUGUUAGUUGAAUGAUGGUUCUGCUAUCACUAAGAGAUGGACCCGCGGUGCAUUAGCUAGUUGGUAAGGUAAUGGCUUACCAAGGCGAUGAUGCGUAGCCGAGUUGAGAGACUGAUCGGCCACAAUGGGACUGAGACACGGCCCAGACUCCUACGGGAGGCAGCAGUAGGGAAUCUUCCACAAUGGGCGCAAGCCUGAUGGAGCAACGCCGCGUGUGUGAUGAAGGGUUUCGGCUCGUAAAACACUGUUAUAAGGGAAGAACGACAUUGAGAGUAACUGUUCAGUGUGUGACGGUAUCUUAUCAGAAAGGAACGGCUAAAUACGUG